GAUGAACGCUGGCGGCGUGCUUAACACAUGCAAGUCGAACGAUGAAGCCCAGCUUGCUGGGUGGAUUAGUGGCGAACGGGUGAGUAACACGUGAGUAACCUGCCCUUGACUCUGGGAUAAGCCUGGGAAACUGGGUCUAAUACUGGAUAUGACUUCUCAUCGCAUGGUGGGGGGUGGAAAGAUUUAUUGGUCUUGGAUGGACUCGCGGCCUAUCAGCUUGUUGGUGAGGUAAUGGCUCACCAAGGCGACGACGGGUAGCCGGCCUGAGAGGGUGACCGGCCACACUGGGACCGAGACACGGCCCAGACUCCUACGGGAGGCAGCAGUGGGGAAUAUUGCACAAUGGGCGCAAGCCUGAUGCAGCGACGCCGCGUGAGGGAUGACGGCCUUCGGGUUGUAAACCUCUUUCAGUAGGGAAGAAGCGAGAGUGACGGUACCUGCAGAAGAAGCGCCGGCUAACUACGUG
rnacentral:rRNA from 1 species